CUCGACUCCAUGAAGUCGGAAUCGCUAGUAAUCGUAGAUCAGAAUGCUACGGUGAAUACGUUCCCGGGCCUUGUACACACCGCCCGUCACACCAUGGGAGUGGGUUGCAAAAGAAGUAGGUAGCUUAACCUUCGGGAGGGCGCUUACCACUUUGUGAUUCAUGACUGGGGUGAAGUCGUAACAAGGUAACCGUAGGGGAACCUGCGGUUGGAUCACCUCCUUACCUUAAAGAACCUGCCUUUGUAGUGUCCACACAGAUUGUCUGAUGAAUGA
rnacentral:rRNA from 1 species